GUGGCAGUGGCUCAGCUGCACAAUUUGGUUUUGCAGAUUUCAGGUUUGCUGGGAAUCUUUUUUAUCAAGAGCAAAACAACCAUUUGAAUUUGAUGUUGGAUUUGCUUAAUUCUGUGUUUUGAUUUCUCUGGGGGAAAGCAGUUCAUGUGAGUGAAAAUUUUCAGCUGCAGAUAUGAGGGAAUCUGAUUUCGGUGAUUCAACAUUCAACAUUCAAUGGUGAAUACCUGGAAAAAGCAGUGGCAUACAAGGCAAAAUUUUCAGGUGCCGAUUUAAGUGAUACAUGAUGGAUCACAUGGUAUGGCCAAAAAUAUUUCAUAAUUUUUUUUUGGCAAUGUGGCAUAAGCCAAGUCUACAACUAUAAGCACCAAAAAGAAGAGAAAAAGAUGAAACUUGAAACAGCGAUACAGGACAAAGUUUUCUACUUUCAGUUUAUAAGAAGCUCUUUUCCAUGCAAAGGCUAAUGCUCUAAUUUCAUUCAUAUCAGUUAAGUUUUUGUUUCCCUAGUACUAAAAAUUGAAUGCUCAUGCAUAAUAAUAUAUCUUGGAAAAGUAUAUUCAUUUUGCAUUUGAGGAAGCUGAAUUAGCUUAAUUUCUUGUGUCGAACUGGCAAUUAUUAGCGGAUAUCACCCUUGGAAUCUGCUCUGAAACUGGUUCUUAAUGAGGCUAAUAUCACAAAUGCCGUGCUUAUUAGAAAAAUCCUCACGUGACGUGAUCUCGGGGGUGCUGUCCUAGACCUACCCCAGGAGCAGGAGUUAGCACCAGAGCAAUGUUGAGUUGCGGAAACAGGACACAUAAUGCUUAUGGUAGUCCAUCAUCUCCUCUUCCAAGUGCUCCACCUCAGAAAAUGCUUGAUCGCAAUGGCUACUGUGAUGAAUGCUCUGGUCUACGCGAUGCAAAAUAGGUCCAAGGUACAUAAAUUUUACUGAUUGGCGACACAAAUCAGUUUAUAGAGAUGCAUCUAUCAUGAACUAUGUAAGUUUGAAACCAGAGGAAACAGAAGGAUUGUUAAAUUUUUUGACAAAGGGAUCCGCAACAGCUAACGUUACGACAUUCAUAUUAUAUUCAACAAUGUCCUGCCUUCUGAUUGAAUCAACAAAGCUUGUGGCCCUGUAGGGAAUUGCAAUGUAUUGGAAUGAGCUUGUUUUCUGCCACCAGUGCUUGGUUAUGUUGCCAAACUCGCCUCACACGGAAAAAUGGCCUUCAUAUGAGAUCAUUAAUGCCCAAUGAAACAGGGGAGAAAGUGAACAUACUUAUUCGGUUCUGUUUGGAUAAGAUUUGGAGUUGUAUGAGUUAAAAAACCGUUUGCCCGAAAUACUUAAGCCCAUGUUGAAGGGCCCACAAAAGCCCUGGUUAAACUGGUCAAAAAGUCCGCUCGAAGGUACAUCCAAGCCAAGCCCAAAUGAAGUCCAAGACCCACAAUUGAAAUAGGCGUUAUAAUGGAUACAAGAGGCCCAAGGCCUGUGAGACUAAGGAAACCCCAUACUGAGGCCUCAGGCCAAUCAUAGCCCAAGGGAGAAGCUCGUUCAUACGGUCAACACGUGUUGAGCAUGUGAUCUGGAAGCACUUAAUAGACGAGGACCCCUCCUCAUUUACUCUCUCAA